AUCCUGCGCCGAAGAUUUCCGGGGCUAAAACUUACUACCGAAGCUACGGCAUCAGGAAUGAUGGGUAGGGGAGCUUCCCAUACGGGUGGAAGCAUGACCGUAAGGACAUGUGGACAGUAUGGGAGUGGGAAUGUUGGCAUGAGUAGCGAGAUGUGGGUGAGAAUCCCACAGGCCGUAAACCCAAGGUUUCCAGGGGAAGGUUCGUCCGCCCUGGGUUAGUCGGGACCUAAGCUGAGGCCGAAAGGCGUAGGUGAUGGACAACAGGUUGAUAUUCCUGUACUACCGAU
rnacentral:rRNA from 1 species